rnacentral:rRNA from 1 species
GACGAACGCUGGCGGCGUGCUUAACACAUGCAAGUCGAACGGAAAGACCCGGCUUUUGUGCGGUGCUCGAGUGCCGAACGGGUGAGUAACACGUGAGUAACCUGCCCUUGUCUUUGUGAUAACAUCAGGAGACUGCGGCUAAUACCGCAUAUGAGCUCCUGCUGCGUGUUGUUGGUUGGAAAGAUUCGGCGGUUGGGUAUGGUCUCGCUGCUUAUCAGCUGGUUGGGGUAGUAGUUGCUUACCAAGGCUUUGACGGGUAGGCGGCCUGAGAGGGUGACCGGGCACAUUGGGACUGAGAUACGGACCAGAAUGGUACGGGAGGCAGCAGUGGGGAAUAUUGCACAAUGGGCGGACGUCUGAUGCAGCAACGCUGCGUGCGGGAUGACGGCCUUCGGGUUGUAAACAGCUUUCGCAUGUGACGAAGAGUGAGUGACGGUAAUGGGUAAAGAAGCACCGGCUAACUACGUA